ensembl:snRNA
ACAAAUAGCCUCUGCUGUGAGUGGCACUUGUGGGGCAGCUCAUUUGCUCUAUGUGUGGAAUUGACAUCAAGAGAUUUGGGGAGGUAUAAUUUUUUGGCAGUUAGGGAGCUGUGAUCAUCAGUCCUGGUGCCCCG